rnacentral:rRNA from 1 species
UACAGAGGGGGCAAGCGUUAUUCGGAAUUAUUGGGCGUAAAGGGCGCGUAGGCGGCUUGGCAAGUGGAUGGUGAAAUCCCUCGGCUUAACCGAGGAACUGCCGUCCAAACUGCGUUCGCUUGAGACCGGGAGAGGUGGAGUGGAAUUCCCAGUGUAGCGGUGGAAAAUGCGUAGAUAUUGGGAGGAACACCAGUGGCGAAGGCGGACUCACUGGACCGGUACUGACGCUGAUGCGCGAAAGCGUGGGGAGCAAACGGGG